AUUUAUAUAGUUUAAAAAAAACAAUACAUUUUCAUUGUAUAAAUAAUAUACUAUUUAUUUAUAAAUA
rnacentral:tRNA from 1 species